rnacentral:rRNA from 1 species
GACGAACGCUGGCGGCGUGCCUAACACAUGCAAGUCGAGCGAGAAUUUAGUAAUUGAUCCCUUCGGGGUGAUUUUGCUAAAGGAAAGCGGCGGACGGGUGAGUAACGCGUGAGUAACCUGCCCUUUGGAGUGGGAUAACACAGAGAAAUCUGUGCUAAUACCGCAUAAUAUAUGUUUACCGCAUGGUAGACAUAUCAAAGAUUUAUCGCCAAAGGAUGGACUCGCGUCUGAUUAGAUAGUUGGUGAGGUAACGGCUCACCAAGUCGACGAUCAGUAGCCGAACUGAGAGGUUGAUCGGCCACAUUGGGACUGAGACACGGCCCAGACUCCUACGGGAGGCAGCAGUGGGGAAUAUUGCGCAAUGGGGGAAACCCUGACGCAGCAACGCCGCGUGAAGGAAGAAGGUCUUCGGAUUGUAAACUUCUAUCAGCAGGGAAGAUAAUGACGGUACCUGACUAAGAAGCCCCGGCUAACUACGUGCCAGCAGCCGACGG